UGCACCAUUCAUGGACCGUAGCUGUAGCCUCUCUCUUUCUCUCUUUCUCUCUCUCUCUCGCUCUCUCUCCUCGUCUCUAUCUCUCUGGAUUCUCCUCGUGGAAGGAAGACGAGCUGCCAGGCUUCCUCUGGUAAGCGACAGGGCUUUAAGGUUUACCCGAGGAAUGCUCGUUCCCUGACGCGGUUCCCGCGAGCCGCCUCCCGAUCCCCCCCCCGCUGCUCCGCCGGAGACGAGCGUGGAUGAGCUGGCCGUCGGCGAGAGGAUCGCAGGGGCUGUGUGUGUCCGUGGACGGAGAGGGAGGACAGAUCUACACCCGCCUGCCAGCCCAAUGCGGGGUUUGGGUUGAGCAUGGUGAGCGCCGAACCCCACCCUCCACACAUCUCCUUACCUAACCUCGCACGCACGCACCUGAGCCGCUGAAGGAAUGGAUGGGUGCCGCGGGAGUAUGGGGGGUUAGGUCCGGAUCUCGGCCCCCCUCCUUCAGUGGACGAGGCAGCCAACACGUUGAUGACUCGUCUUGGCUUCUUACUCGGAGAAAAAGCGAGCGAGGGCUCUCCAGGGCCGCAGUACAGCAUGGAUGAGCCUGAUGACGCACAGGGUUUGUGAGUGAGUGGGAGGAUGAGUCAGUGCUCCACCCUGACCAGCAGCACCGCCUCGCCCCCCGCCUGCAGCCCCUGCUCCACCCUCCCUCCUGCUGCUCCGGGACAGGCCUUCUCCAGCCCCACAUCCACCCUGGAGAGCCGAGACAGCGGCA